rnacentral:lncRNA from 1 species
GUGAGAAGAAAGAGUUUCGAUUGACUUUGGCGAAGAUUGUACAAGUAAUCGAAAGUGAGAUCAAAUCCAUCGAUCCAUUCACGGGAUCACUCCCGGGUCAGUGAAAAAGGAACUCCUCUCUUUUCUCUUUUUCUCUUUUUCUAGUCACUCGAGUGGCAAGUUGCUAUGGCCAGUGCUCUUGGUGUCAGGGUUGGAGACGUCGCUGGUCGAGAUUUGGAGUUCUCCUUCAUCCUCGAUCUCGAUUCUUUCGUUCUGCAGCGAUCGAUCCAGCUAAAGAUCAAACGAUACGAUAGGAGAGAAAAACCAAAAGAGUGUACCUGCGAUUCUUUGAGUGACGAGAAUAAUGUGAUCGCUGUCGCAGCUGCUAUUCCAAAGACUGGCGCGAUGGCUUUGGCCAUGUCCAUGUCUGCUUGUUUCUGUUCAAGCGGUGACCUUAUCAUCCUGGAUUUUGAGUAUCGAUCGAUAACUUAACGGGAAGAAGAUACCUUUCUCGACUGACUGGAAAUGCCCAAAACACGAGCUCGAUCGAUCGAUGAGCGACGAGACUUAUGAUUCGACUCCACAAGAGUCCCCUUAUUUGCUUGCAGGAGAGAGAAACAAUGAAAUCCAGCACGUACAAGAG